rnacentral:misc_RNA from 1 species
AGAAGCCUGACGAAAAAGCCGCGAAGAAGCCUGAAGAAGGAAAGUCGGACGACAAAAAAGCAGACGACAAAAAGGCCAAAGAGAGCACUGUAGUUUUGAAGAUGCGAUUACAUUGCGAAGGUUGCAUUCAAAAGAUUAGGAAGGCACUCAUCAAACUCAAAGGAGUCAAUGAGAUUUCAGUAGACGCUCAGAAGGAUUUGAUCACAGUAAAAGGCGCCAUAGAAGGAAAAGACCUAGCAGGUUACCUCAAAGGCAAGUUCAAGAGAUCCGUCGAAGUAGUUCCUCCGAAGAAAGAAGAACCCGCCGCUGCCGGAGG